GGAGAACAAGAAGAAGAUCCACCAUUGUUAGCUUGAAGUGUUGACAUUGACAGUUUUUGAACAUUUGUGGAGCAGAGGUGCACCAUGGCUUGCCACAAUGUCACAAUGGGUCCUUGGAGAGCCGCACAAAUACUCCACUCACCUAGUUCCAGAGGGAGAGGAUCACCAGCCACCACCGGCCAUACUAAAGGAAGUGGCUCUAUGUAGGGAUGGAACAUGGAAACUACACCAGCUGGGACACACCUAGCCAACUAUUGUGUUAAGAAUGUGGAGAAAGAUAGACCAAGGCAAGAGAAAGAGGAGGAGGAGUAGGAGGAAGAA